UGUAACAAGAAAGGUGACAGUGUGUGUGAGAUAUGUCACCAGUUUAUUUAUUGCCAAAUGUUUGUUCAUUGCAGCCAUUCAAACCAGGCUAUACAGCACCUCCUCCUAUGUUUCAACUUGGGAGUAUUCCAAUGAACUUUAGACUAUGAUGAGUAUGCUGCUUUUGAAUCAAGAAGUCUGUUUUGCUGUCAUUCUGUUGCUGCAAUUGUGAUUAAUCUCCUUCUCUCUCUCUCUGUGGG